UACGGAGGGUGCGAGCGUUGUCCGGAAUUACUGGGCGUAAAGCGCGCGUAGGUGGUUUGUUAAGUUGGAUGUGAAAUCCCCGGGCUCAACCUGGGAACUGCAUCCAAAACUGGCAAGCUAGAGUAGGGCAGAGGGUGGUGGAAUUUCCUGUGUAGCGGUGAAAUGCGUAGAUAUAGGAAGGAACACCAGUGGCGAAGGCGACCACCUGGGCUCAUACUGACACUGAGGUGCGAAAGCGUGGGGAGCAAACAGG
rnacentral:rRNA from 1 species